UACGGAGGAUGCAAGCGUUAUCCGGAAUUAUUGGGCGUAAAGCGUCCGCAGGUGGUUAUCCAAGUCUGCUGUUAAAGCGCGAGGCUUAACUUCGUACAGGCAGUGGAAACUGGGUGACUGGAGUAUGGUAGGGGUAGCGGGAAUUCCCAGUGUAGCGGUGAAAUGCGUAGAUAUCAGGAGGAACACCGAUGGCGAAGGCAGCUCGCUGGGACGGUACUGACGCUGAGGCGCGAAAGCGUGGGGAGCAAACAGG
rnacentral:rRNA from 1 species